GCAAAAGACCGAUUGUACUUGAGGAACAAAAUCGGGGAUGAUCAUCCUUUAGUGGCGGGAAGCUGGAAAAUGAGGGACUGUGGGCUGUGAGGAGAGAGAAAGAGGCUUGAGAAACCAGAAACCAUCAUUUGCAUCCAAGAAACUGUGCUCUCCAUGGCUUCCUCAAGAUGAGCAAACAAGAGUGAUACAGAUUUUUCUGAGAUGGACAGUGCCUCUCACUGACCCCGCCCCCAGUAUCCUACGACCAAGGAAAAGAAUCUCAUGUGUCAUUUCUGUGGGCCACGGUAGUUAAGGAAACUCCAUGUAUU
ensembl:lncRNA EGLN3-AS1 EGLN3 antisense RNA 1